AAGAAUUCUCGAUGAUUGUAUUAAAAUGGCCAACUCUUGUGUAUGAAAAAAAUUUCAGUUGAAAUAGAAAAAUUCACUUUGUGUGUCCAUACAUUUUCAUGGAUAUUGAUCACUAGAAACCACAUUAGAAACUUCCUAAGAUAAUACAUUAACCCAACAAAUGAGUCGCUUUCUCAUCCACCUCAUGUGACUGCAUGUUUUGCAUGGGUGAUAAAUUGACAAAUAUAAUAGCUGUUAUAAUCAACCAUUAGAGAUUUUCA
rnacentral:lncRNA from 1 species